GAUGAACGCUGGCGGCGUGCUUAACACAUGCAAGUCGAACGAAGCACUUUAUUUGAUUUCCUUCGGGACUGAUUAUUUUGUGACUGAGUGGCGGACGGGUGAGUAACGCGUGGGUAACCUGCCUUGUACAGGGGGAUAACAGUUGGCAACGGCUGCUAAUACCGCAUAAGCGCACGGCAUCGCAUGAUCCAGUGUGAAAAAAUCCGGUGGUAUAAGAUGGACCCGCGUUGGAUUAGCUAGUUGGUGAGGUAACGGCCCACCAAGGCGACGAUCCAUAGCCGACCUGAGAGGGUGACCGGCCACAUUGAGACUGAGACACGGCCCAAACUCCUACGGGAAGCAGCAGUGGGGAAUAUUGCACAAUGGGCGAAAGCCUGAUGCAGCGACGCCGCGUGAGCGAAGAAGUAUUUCGGUAUGUAAAGCUCUAUCAGCAGGGAAGAUAAUGACGGUACCUGAAUAAGAAGCACCGGCUAAAUACGUG
rnacentral:rRNA from 1 species